ensembl:lncRNA
CAUAAUACUCAAAUAAUUACACUAACGUACAGAGUUUAUACUACAGUACUUAUCUACAUAUUCCUACACAUUUUGAUAAUGGACUGAUUUUUGUCUUAGUGCUUUGAACAGAAUUCAUAGUGUUGCUUCCACUACUGUUUUAACGAUAACUGAUGUCUUCACUCGUACAUUUUGAAUGCAACUGAAAUUGUAUUUUUGUGAGAUUUUGAUAAGGUGCAUAAUCAUUUGUCUAUAUUAUUUAGAUCAUUUGUUUUUCUGGUUUCAUGCCACACCAUAUGGUUGCUUGUGGCAAUCACACCAUGUGGUUGCUUGUGGCGAUCACACAUGCUCAACUGAGGGACUUUUUAGAGGUUUUAACAUAACAUCUCCGGUACCACUGUGUCAACCAUCACUGUCUACAUUUAAUUUCAGUGAGAAUGACCUGUUCAAUUAAGAUAAUCUUUCCCUUCAUGUUCCAGACUUGCUGUUUGUCAUGCUUAUGAACAAACUGGUAUAGUCUUUCUCCUUAAAUCAUGUUUAAAAUUGUAUGAUAGAGGAAAUGGGCUUGAACUUAGCUCUGACAUGUUUCAGACCGUUUAACAGAACUCUCUUUGUCCAAUGGAUGGGUUAGCUGACAACGUCACAAAAACGAUGCACAUGUUUGAAUGGGGCAGACGUCUGUGUGUUGUGAUUCUGGAUGGCCAGAUGGCUAGAACCAAUAUAAGAGGCUGCUCAUUUCAGUUAGUUUUCUUGUUCUUGAUACCAUGUCUUGUUUUUAGGUGUUUUGACUGAUGUCACAUCUUUGCUAAUAUGGCUAAACUUCACAAGCUAGCUAACCAACAACUGUAACAAUGUAUUUGAGAGACAAGUGCUCAUUGUGCAAAUGUAUUUAUGUUUUCAAUAAACAUUGGAGACUAAAUAUAGUUUACAUGUCAACAAUUUAAGCCAACACUGUCUGUUUUGCCCCAUAGUUGUGCACACAUCGCUUUUGUUGCUUAACAACCAACCAAUCUAUAAGCUGCCAAUGGACUGUAACAAUGCAGCUAGAAAUCAUGUAACACAGCUGUGGCAUACUGAUUUGAUGUGGUAUUUUGCUAUUGAUUGGUUUUGUAUAUAAUGGAACGAGUUGACAUUAUGGGAGCUGUUUUCUAGUACUUUAACUGAUGCAUUAAGGGAACAGGUGUACGGUUCUACUGUUUCUACAGUCUGCUCAGUUUCUACAGUACUUGAGCCCAACCAUUGAUUCUUGUCACUCAGGUAAGCCUUUAUGAUGAUAUAUGAAGAGAAACACAUGGAUAUACUUUAAAAUGCACUGAAUCUCUAUCCCAGCAAGAUUGUAAUCAAACAGAUUUUUUAUUGUUAAAACUGAGGAAAUUGUAUUUUGUAUUACCAAGAGCAUUAUGCUUCCAUUCUGUGUUUUGUAUUAUAAGAUAAGACACACUAUCGUACUAUAUUUAGUUAAGGAUCGACUGGGACUGAUACAUGGAUAACUGUAUGCAGUCUGUCUUGUGUGAAUGCUUGUUGAACAUGAAUGACUACAAAAUAACACUGAUAUGAAAAUAGAAGGAAGACAUGCAACCAAGUGCAAAGUCACUUCUACUCAUCUACUUCAUAAAAUUUUCCAAAAGUUGUAUCAGUUUGUACCUAUUGUCACAUCUUGUUAAUGUUGUCGUGGUACCACAAACUCAGGUCUGGAAUAGGAAUGUUUGGGCUAUCUUUUGUUUAAAAUGUAUCUAAAAGUCUGCAUUGUUUUGUUGUGAACACGGUUAUUUUUUUUAAAUGUGUUUGAUAUAAUCCCAUGUCAAUAAAUGUUUGAAGAAAAA